GCACCGGCUAACUCCGUGCCAGCAGCCGCGGUAAUACGGAGGGUGCGAGCGUUAAUCGGAAUUACUGGGCGUAAAGCGCAUGCAGGUGGUUUGUUAAGUCAGAUGUGAAAGACCCGGGGCGUCAACCUCGGAAUAGCAUUUGUAAACUAGGCAGACUAGAGUACUGUAGAGGGGGGUAGGAAUUUCUAGGUGUAGCGGUGAAAUGCGUAGAGAUCUGAAGGAAUACCGGUGGCGAAGGCGGCCCCCUCGGACAGAUACUGACACUCAGAUGCGAAAGCGUGGGGAGCAAACAGGAUUAGAUACCCUGGUAG
rnacentral:rRNA from 1 species